GGUUAGUCCUAGGGUAGUCAGUUCUCUCAACUGAUUACAGUCAGUUACAUAUUGAACUCCUUGUUCUAAUCUUUUCCUCCUUCCCGCUACUAAACUUGACUACUCUUAA
ensembl:misc_RNA Y_RNA Y RNA